rnacentral:rRNA from 1 species
UACGUAGGGUGCGAGCGUUGCCCGGAUUUAUUGGGCGUAAAGGGCGCGUAGGCGGCCACGCACGUCCGUUGUGAAAUCGCCCGGCUCAACUGGGGCGGGGUCAGCGGAUACGGUGUGGCUCGAGCAAGCUAGGGGGCAAUGGAAUUCCCGGUGUAGUGGUGGAAUGCGUAGAUAUCGGGAGGAACACCAGUGGCGAAGGCGGUUGCCUGGAGCUUUGCUGACGCUGAGGCGCGAAAGCGUGGGGAGCGAUCCGG